GUAAACGACUCGAAUCAGAACAUUAUAAGAGCUAUGACUAUAUAACAAACGUUAAUACGUGGAGGUUUGUAGAAAACAGCUCUGAAACAGACCAACAGUCGCAAUCGCUACCAGAAAUCUGCAACACGCUGUGUCCUGAAAAACUUGUAUGAAAAUGAAACUCUUGCUGAUAAUCAAUUUGUUGAUCAUUGCAAAUAUCUACGCUAAGCACAUCUCAAUUGUAAAAAAAAAUUGUGCAGAAAAAUAUGAAAUAUGCGAUGAGACGCCUUGCUGUGAUUCAAGUCACAUAUGCUUUUGCCACCCUGAACCAGUGAAUUAUUGUUGGUGUGAUGUAUGUAAUGGUACAUGGUGCAACUACUCACACUCGUCAACAAGACGACAUAGAGCCACUUAGACAUAAUAUUUACCAUUAAACGAUUAUAAUUGUA